CGGUGGAUGAUGUGAUUAAUUCGAUGCAACGCGUAAAACCUUACCUACCCUUGACAUGUUCGGAAUUCUGCAGAGAUGCGGAAGUGCUCGAAAGAGAACCGGAACACAGGUGCUGCAUGGCUGUCGUCAGCUCGUGUCGUGAGAUGUUGGUUAAGUCCCGCAACGAGCGCAACCCUUGUCAUUAGUUGCUACGAAAGGGGCACUCUAAUGAGACUGCCGGUGACAAACCGGAGGAAGGUGGGGAUGACGUCAAGUCCUCAUGGCCCUUAUGGGUAGGGCUUCACACGUCAUACAAUGGUCGGUACAGAGGGCUGCCAACCCGCAAGGGGGAGCCAAUCCUUUAAAACCGAUCGUAGUCCGGAUUGAGGUCUGCAACUCGACCUCAUGAAGUCGGAAUCGCUAGUAAUCGCGGAUCAGCAUGUCGCGGUGAAUACGUUCCCGGGUCUU
rnacentral:rRNA from 1 species